rnacentral:lncRNA from 1 species
UCUAGUCAGCGAUGGACCGUCUCUUUGGCCGUCAUAAAUGAAGCAGUAAGGCUAUUUUCUGGCCUAAAAUGAUGGUUAGAGUGACGGUUAGUCACUAGAGUGACGGUCCGUCACUCAGACCGUCAGUUUUGUCCGAAACAACGUAGAAACUCCAUUUUAAAGGGAUUUUUGAGUCUUUUUCCACCCUAUUUAAUACCCAAUCAUGUCAAAUCAAAGCAUAUAACUCCUCAUUCAUCCAUAACAUCAAAAUUAGGAUUUCUUUCAAGAUCAAAACCCAAGAACAAGAUUUAAACCUUUCUCUAAGAAAACUCAAGAAUCAAAGCAUCACCAUUCAAGAACCUUCAAGAAAAGUUAACCUCCUUCAAAAUUCAAGCUUUUGAGGUAUGGAUAGUGUUCAUUCAUGGACUCUUUUCGUCCAUGAAUUCCAAGGAUCUCUUUUCUAAAUUAAAGUUUAUGGAUUUCUUUAUGAAUUUCAUGUUGGGUUUGUUUUGUUUAUGUUGAGAAUGAUCAAUUGAAUUCAAAUCCAUGUUGGGUGAUCAAUGUUGUUUGAAAUUGAUUUGUAUAGAUGUAUAUUUAUGUGAAUCUAUGAUUAAACCCUAGGAUGAUGAAAUUAGAGUUGAAUUAUGAUUUUUAAUUGUGGUAUAAUGAUGUUUAUAUGUACCAUGCCUACCAUGUGUUUUAUUAAAUACCUAUAUGAAGGAAAAGUGCCCAACUAGUAUGAUAUCAUGAAAUCCCUAAUUAUGUACAAGUUUAUGCAUAUCAUAUGUUUGAUGAAGUGCUUCAGUAUAUGGAUUAUGGAUUAUGAUGUUAGUCAUGUGUUCAAGUAAGUCAUGCAAUGUUAGUUUCUUUCCAUCGAGUCCUGGGGGUACUUGUACCCAAAAUAUUAGUUGUGUGCCUAGAGCCAUGCCAUAUUUUCACGAUACUCUCAGUCAAGGCAUGAUCCAUAGAACUCAUCCAGUCAUGUGACUCAGGAAAACCGAAAAAUCUCAAUAAUCUCAAUAGUUCAGUAAUCUCAGUGAUCUCAGUACUCAGUAAUCUCAGUAACCUCAGUUUCCCUUAUCAAUCUUAGAAGCUACAGUAUUCUCAGUCAAUCCUUAGAACUCAGUAUAUUCCGUCAGUCAAUGGAACUCAGUAAAUUCAGUUUAGCUCACCUAGAAAAUACCACUAAUAUCAGUUUAACUCAGUUAAUCAGUUCAGAGUCUUUCAGAUGGGAGUAGGAUUCAACAUCGAGUGAGCCUAGGGACGGGGACUCACCAACUAGAUAGGACUGAGAUCCCUAGAAGCAAUCCCUAAGUUCCAGAACUACGUAGCCAGUGUAUGUAUGAUAUUUCACCCGUUAGAUAGGACUGACAUACUUAGGGAUCACUCGUUAGCAUAUUUAAAUGUAUAGGACUGAUCCUAGAGGUCACCCGCUAGAUUAGGACUGACUCCAUAGCAGUUGUCUUUACUAGUGAUGCAGUACUGACACCCUUCCAACUGAGGUUACAGGUUGAACCCUAGUUAGCAUAGUAUGGGGAAUGUUGGUUAGAUGAAUACAUCCCACAGUUUCAAUUAUAGAAUCAGGACUGUCAGAUAAAGUUAAUUCAACUUAGUAGUAUAGAUUUAGGACUGUCAGAUACAGUCAAUCCUUACAUUAUAAAUAGACUCCGAGAUCACCCACUAGAUAAGGCUGAUCUCAAAUAUGGUCAAUCAGUAUUAAUAUCAUCAGAUUUAGAGAUCACCGACUAUAUAGGACUGAUCUCAGAUUCAAUUACUCAGAUAUAAUACGAAACUUAGCUAGUUCCAUCAGAUUUAGGACUGUUAGAUAUAGUCACUCAUGUUAUCAGUUAUGUCAGUUAUCAAAACUCAUAUUAUCAGUAUUCAGCUUCAUGACUGUCAGAUACAGUCAACCAAAAAAGUUUUUCAUAAUCAGAAUUGUGAGAGACAGUUACUCAUGUAUCAGUUACAUAGUAUCAGUCCCUUAGUAUUCAGUAAUAUAGUAUUAGUCUUUCUCACUCAUCAGUGACUCAGAUGUCAAUAUCAGUAAACUUAUUAGUCAGAACUCAGUAUUCAGUCCUAUCAUAAUCUCAGUUACAGUUAUGUAGUUAUGCAUGUAUUCUCACAUUUAUGUUAGUCAGUCAGUUAUUAUUGUUCAUGCAUAUGAACCAUUUGCAUUCAACCUACCUCACUUGCAUACCAGUAUAUUCAAAGUACUAAUGCAUUUGCGCUAUGGUGUCUUAUACUAUAGGUCUAGAAGCACGAGCAUCAGUAGUUCAGCAGUUAGAGUCAGCUAUGAGUCCUUAUUCUUUGAGAACAUGAUAAUUAUAUUACUAUUAUAAUUUUUAGUUUAUUUUAGUAGUCGUAGUUAGUUGGGGACAUGUCCCAUCAACUCUUUUUUCAAACAGUUCAGAGGCUUUCAGACUAUAGCAUGUCAGACAGUUAUUUCAGUUAUUUUGGUAUUGAUAUACCAUAUUUUUAGUUAUGUACUAGUAUUGAACCUUAUGGGCUUUCAUUUCAUGUUUCUGCAUUAUACAGUCUUUUAUACAAUAUACAGGUACAGAUAUCAGUCAUGGGUUAGCUUGUGGUCCUUCGGGGUCAUGAGCACCAUGUAACAUUUCGGGUACCAGAUUCGGGGCAUUAUAACUAACAAGUACUUUAUUUUUUAUUACUGUCAAGUUAAUUUGUAGUUAAGUUAGUAAUGUGGUUGACUGGUAGGACUAUGAAGUGCAUUAUUGUUCAUUACUGUCAAAUUAUAUUAAGUACUCCAUUUCAAUUUGUUUGUCUGGUUUAACUUGAAACAAAGUUUAACAAAGUGAAUAACAUUUUGAAAUCUUAUGAUCUUAAAUUAAAACUGUGUAUAAUGGUCAAGUGUAGUGUUUUGAAAUAUGUACUAGUGACUUCAAAAUGAUCAAAUGUCGUCACUUGGGAAGUGGAUUAGUGACUUGAAAAUGGUUUAGUAUAGUUACAUGAAAGGUGAACUUAAAAAGGGUUAAGUAUAAUGACUUGAAAUGUGAAUUAGUUAUUUGAAAAUGAUUAAGUGUACUGAUUGGAAAUGUGUACUAGUGACUUGAAAAUGGUUGUGUAGCGACUUGAAGUGUGAAUUAGUUACUUGAAAAUGGUCAAGUGUAGUCACUUGAAAUGUGUACUAGUGAGUCAAAAAUGAUUGUGUGGUGACUUAAAAAUGUUGAAGUCUAGUGACUUGAAAUGUCAAUUAGCUAUUUGAAAAUGACUUAAGUGUAGUGACUUGAAAUGUGUACUAGUGACUUGAAAAUGAUUAAGUGUAGUUACUUGAAAUUGUGAACUUGUGACUUGAAAAUGAUUAAGUGCAGUUAUUUGAAAUUGUGAACUUGUGAUUUGAAAAUGGUUAAGUGUAGUCAAUUGAAAUGUGUAUUAAUAACUUGAAAAUAAUAAAGUAUAGUUGCUUGAAAUGUGUAGUGUCUUGAAAUGUGUAUUAGUGACUUGAAAAUAAUUGAGUGUAGUGACUUGAAAUGUAUACUAGUGACUUUAAAAUGAUUAAGUGUAGUGACUUGAAAUGUGUACUAGUGACUUGAAAAUAGUUAAGUGUAGUUACUUGAAAAUGGUUAAGUAUAGUGACUUGACAUGUGUACUAGUGACUUGAAAAUGGUUAGGUGUAAUUACUUGAAAGUGGUUAAGUGUAGUUACUUGAAAGUGGUUAAGUAUAGUAACUUGAAAUAAAUGAUUAGGUGCAGUGACUUGAAAAUUGUUGAGUAUCGUUAUUUGAAAUGUGAAGUAGUUACUUGAAAAUGGUUAAGUAUAGUGACUUGAAAUGUGAAUUAAUUAUUUAAAAAUGGUUCAGUGUAGUGAUUUGAAAUGUGUACUAGUGACUUGAAAAUGAUUAAGUGUAGUGCUUUACAAUGUGAAUUAGUUAUUUGAAAAUGGUUAAGUGUAGUGACUUGAAAUGUGUGCUAGUGAGUUGAAAAUAGUUAAGUGUAGUUAAAACUUGUCAAGUAUAAUGACUUGAAAUAUCAAUUAAUUAGCUAUUUGAAAAUUAUUAAGUGUAGUGACUUGAAAAUGAUUAAAUAUAGUCAUUUGAAAUUGCGAACUUAUGACUUGAAAAUGGUUAAGUGUAGUUACUUGAAAUUGUGAACUUCUGACUUGAAAAUGAUUAAGUGUAGUCACUUGAAAUGUAUACAAAUAACUUGAAAAUAAUAAAGUAUAGUUACUUGAGAAUGAUUAAGUAUAGUGACUUGAAAUGUGAAUUAGUUAAGUGUAGUGAUUUGAAAUGUGUCAUAGUGAUUUGAAAAUAUUUUAAGUGUAGUGACUUGCAAUGUGAAUUAGUUAUUUAAAAAUGGUUGUGUAGUGACUUGAAGUGUGUAGUAGUAACUUGAAAAUGGUGAAGUGUAGUAACUUGAAAUGUGAAUUAGUUACUUGAAAAUGGUAAGUAUAGUAACAUAAAAUUAUAAUAUCAACCCUCCUCUUCUAUUUGAUGUUAUAUUAAUGUAAGAGAAUAACAAGAUUUUUAUUGAAAUAGAUCUUUCUGUUAUUUUACUACAUUGUUACUAAUACUCUUUUUGUAUUUUCCUUUUUCCUAUUGCAACUCUAAUCUUGUUAUUUGUCUUCUGUGUAUUUUGUUGUAGCAUCAAACAAUUUAGUAUAAACGACCUCUUGUGGUGGAGAGGUCUUGCUCGAUUAUUGGAAGUUAAAAGAUUUGUUAAAUGAUGAACGCCCAUCUCAAGAAGACAAACAAGAGGAUGAAAGUGAUGAUGACUCUGACGACGUGAAUGAAAGUGAUUCUAAUCUUGAUAACAUGGAUGAAAGUGAUUCUGACCUUGAUGGUUGGUAGUUUUAUUGAGGAUUCAAGUUUGAAAUAUUUUGUUUAGGACCAUUUAAGAAUCAUACAUUAUUGAUGUGGAUGUUUUGAAUUAUGUUUUUUGGUUAGCUGUAAUGAUUUACAUUAGACUUGUAUUGAAUGAUGUUUUUGAGAAUUAUUGAAGGUUUUGAAUAGAUUUUUGUUUAAUUGUGA